rnacentral:rRNA from 1 species
AUUGAACGCUGGCGGCAGGCUUAACGCAUGCAAGUCGAGCGGAGAUGAGGUGCUUGCACCUUAUCUUAGCGGCGGACGGGUGAGUAAUGCUUAGGAAUCUGCCUAUUAGUGGGGGACAACAUUCCGAAAGGAAUGCUAAUACCGCAUACGCCCUACGGGGGAAAGCAGGGGAUCUUAGGACCUUGCGCUAAUAGAUGAGCCGAAGUCGGAUUAGCUAGGUGGUGGGGUAAAGGCCUACCAAGGCGACGAUCUGUAGCGGGUCUGAGAGGAUGAUCCGCCACACUGGGACUGAGACACGGCCCAGACUCCUACGGGAGGCAGCAGUGGGGAAUAUUGGACAAUGGGCGGAAGCCUGAUCCAGCCAUGCCGCGUGUGUGAAGAAGGCCUUUUGGUUGUAAAGCACUUUAAGCGAGGAGGAGGCUACCUGGAUUAAUACUCUAGGAUAGUGGACGUUACUCGCAGAAUAAGCACCGGCUAACUCUGUGCCAGCCGCCGCGGUAAUAC